UACGUAGGUGGCAAGCGUUGUCCGGAUUUACUGGGCGUAAAGAGCGCGCAGGCGGUCGUUCAAGUCGCGUGUGAAAGCCCCCGGCUCAACUGGGGAGGGUCACGCGAUACUGAUCGACUCGAAGGCAGGAGAGGGGAGUGGAAUUCCCGGUGUAGUGGUGAAAUGCGUAGAUAUCGGGAGGAACACCAGUGGCGAAGGCGGCUUCCUGGCCUGUUCUUGACGCUGAGGCGCGAAAGCUAGGGGAGCAAACGGG
rnacentral:rRNA from 1 species